GCCUGUGGCCAUGCCACCCUGAACAAGCCCGAUGUCUGAUCUCGGAAGCUAAGCAGGGUCGGGCCUGGUUAGUACCUGGAUGGGAGACCACCUAGGAAGACCAGAUGCUGUAGGCG
rnacentral:rRNA from 1 species